UGAAACAUCUCAGUACCCAUAGGAAGAGAAAACAAUAGUGAUUCCGUUAGUAGUGGCGAGCGAAAGCGGAUGGUGGCUAAACCGGUUGUGUGUGAUACCUGGCGAGGGUUGCAUGAUCGGGGUUGUGGGAUGCGUUGUUCUCGGGGUCGCCACCUCGGGGGUUGUGGUGUUGUGGUAGUCGAACUGGUGGUGAGUGCCAGACCGUAGUGGGUGGGAGUCCCGUAGACGAAACCAUGAUUAUCGUGACUUGAUGUUCUCCCAAGUAGCACGGGGCUCGUGAAAUCUCGUGUGAAUCUGCCAGGACCACCUGGUAAGCCUGAAUACUACCUGUUGACCGAUAGCGGAUCAGUACCGUGAGGGAAUGGUGAAAAGUACCCCGGGAGGGGAGUGAAAUAGUACCUGAAACCGUGCGCCUACAAUCCGUCAGAGCCUGGGUUGCCCUUGUGGUGGCCUGGUGAUGGCGUGCCUUUUGAAGAAUGAGCCUGCGAGUUAGCGGUGUGUGGCGAGGUUAACCCGUGUGGGGUAGCCGUAGCGAAAGCGAGUCCUAAUAGGGCGAUCAUAGUCGCACGCUCUAGACCCGAAGCGGAGUG
rnacentral:rRNA from 1 species